AAAAAGUAAACGGUUGGGACUAGUAAAUCUAGGGACCGUGCAAGAGAGUGAAACCCGCUGGCUGAAAGGUUUCUCACGGAAAAUGGAUUGAACCUGCCCACAAUAACUGCUUAUGAAAACAUAAGACGUCCUCCCGCGUUAAGGGGUUGAGUGGGUGCUUUUAGCAUCAAUAAAGGUGGUACCGCGGAAACGACUUUUCCGUCCUUUAC
rnacentral:ncRNA from 2 species